GCAGUCGACGGCAGCACGGGAGCAAUCCUGGUGGCGAGUGGCGAACGGGUGAGUAAUAUAUCGGAACGUGCCCAGUCGUGGGGGAUAACGCAGCGAAAGCUGUGCUAAUACCGCAUACGAUCUCUGGAUGAAAGCGGGGGACUCGCAAGGGCCUCGCGCGAUUGGAGCGGCCGAUAUCAGAUUAGCUAGUUGGUGGGGUAAAAGCCCACCAAGACGACGAUCUGUAGCUGGUCUGGGAGGACGACCAGCCACACUGGAACUGAGACACGGUCCAGACUCCUACGGGAGGCAGCAGUGGGGAAUUUUGGACAAUGGGCGCAAGCCUGAUCCAGCAAUGCCGCGUGAGUGAAGAAGGCCUUCGGGUUGUAAACUGCUUUUGUACGGAACGAAACGGCUGCCCCUAAUACGGGCGGCUAAUGACGGUACCGUAAGAAUAAGCACCGGCUAACUACGUGCCAGCAGCCGCGGUAAUACGUAGGGUGCGAGCGUUAAUCGGAAUUACUGGGCGUAAAGCGUGCGCAGGCGGUUAUAUAAGACAGAUGUGAAAUCCCCGGGCUCAACCUGGGACCUGCAUAUGUGACUGUAUAGCUAGAGUACGGUAGAGGGGGAUGGAAUUCCGCGUGUAGCAGUGAAAUGCGUAGAUAUGCGGAGGAACACCGAUGGCGAAGGCAAUCCCCUGGACCUGUACUGACGCUCAUGCACGAAAGCG
rnacentral:rRNA from 1 species